rnacentral:rRNA from 1 species
AUUGAACGCUGGCGGCAGGCUUAACACAUGCAAGUCGAGCGGGGUGAUGGUGCUUGCACUAUCACUUAGCGGCGGACGGGUGAGUAAUGCUUAGGAAUCUGCCUAUUAGUGGGGGACAACAUCUCGAAAGGGAUGCUAAUACCGCAUACGUCCUACGGGAGAAAGCAGGGGAUCACUUGUGACCUUGCGCUAAUAGAUGAGCCUAAGUCGGAUUAGCUAGUUGGUGGGGUAAAGGCCUACCAAGGCGACGAUCUGUAGCGGGUCUGAGAGGAUGAUCCGCCACACUGGGACUGGGACACGGCCCAGACUCCUACGGGAGGCAGCAGUGGGGAAUAUUGGUCAAUGGGGGGAACCCUGAUCCAGCCAUGCCGCGUGUGUGAAGAAGGCCUUAUGGUUGUAAAGCACUUUAAGCGAGGAGGAGGCUCUUUUGGUUAAUACCCAAGAUGAGUGGACGUUACUCGCAGAAUAAGCACCGGCUAACUCUGUGCCAGCCGCCGCCGCGG